rnacentral:rRNA from 1 species
UACGGGGGGAGCAAGCGUUGUUCGGAUUUACUGGGCGUAAAGGGCGCGUAGGCGGCGCAACAAGUCACUUGUGAAAUCUCCGGGCUUAACCCGGAGCGGCCAAGUGAUACUGUCGUGCUAGAGUGCGGAAGGGGCUACUGGAAUUCUCGGUGUAGCGGUGAAAUGCGUAGAUAUCGAGAGGAACACCUGCGGCGAAGGCGGGUAGCUGGGCCGACACUGACGCUGAGGCGCGAAAGCCAGGGGAGCAAACAGG